rnacentral:piRNA from 1 species
GUAAGACCGGGGAGUGUAAGCAUUGUAGAC